GCGGGGGUAGCCAAGCCAGGUUGAAGGCGCUGGCUUCAGGAGCCAGUCCCGUAGGGGUUCGGGGGUUCAAAUCCCCUCCCCCGCACCA
rnacentral:tRNA from 2 species